GCGAGGGUAAUUCAGUGGUAGAAUGCUUGCUUGCCAAGCAAGAUGUCGCGGGUUCGACCCCCGUCCCUCGCUCCA
rnacentral:tRNA from 2 species